rnacentral:lncRNA from 1 species
CAUGAGCACCCGACCGAUACUUGUCCUAUUCUGAGAGACGAGUCCAUUACUGAGUUGCCUCAAGCUUAUGCAGCCAACCUUUACAAUCAAAACAGGUACAAUAAUACAGUAUUUGUACUUCUCAUGAGCACCCGACCGAUACUUGUCCUAUUCUGAGAGACGAGUCCAUUACUGAGUUGCCUCAAGCUUAUGCAGCCAACCUUUACAAUCAAAACAGGUACAAUAAUACUCCUGACCUGUCCACCAACAAAU